rnacentral:rRNA from 1 species
AGUGAACGCUGGCGGUAGGCCUAACACAUGCAAGUCGAACGGCAGCACAGUAAGAGCUUGCUCUUUCGGGUGGCGAGUGGCGGACGAGUGAGGAAUACAUCGGAAUCUACUUUUUCGUGGGGGAUAACGUAGGGAAACUUACGCUAAUACCGCAUACGACCUACGGGUGAAAGCAGGGGAUCUUCGGACCUUGCGCGAUUGAAUGAGCCGAUGUCGGAUUAGUUAGUUGGCGGGGUAAAGGCCCACCAAGGCGACGAUCCGUAGCUGGUCUGAGAGGAUGAUCAGCCACACUGGAACUGAGACACGGUCCAGACUCCUACGGGAGGCAGCAGUGGGGAAUAUUGGACAAUGGGCGCAAGCCUGAUCCAGCCAUACCGCGUGAGUGAAGAAGGCCUUCGGGUUGUAAAGCCCUUUUGUUGGGAAAGAAAAGCAGCAGGUUAAUACCCCGCUGUUCUGACGGUACCCAAAGAAUAAGCACCGGCUAACUUCGUG